rnacentral:rRNA from 1 species
GAUGAACGCUGGCGGCGUGCCUAAUACAUGCAAGUCGAGCGAACAGACGAGGAGCUUGCUCCUCUGACGUUAGCGGCGAACGGGUGAGUAACACGUGGAUAACCUACCUAUAAGACUGGGAUAACUUCGGGAAACCGGAGCUAAUACCGGAUAAUAUAUUGAACCGCAUGGUUCAAUAGUGAAAGACGGUUUUGCUGUCACUUCUAGAUGGAUCCGCGCCGCAUUAGCUAGUUGGUAAGGUAACGGCUUACCAAGGCAACGAUGCGUAGCCGACCUGAGAGGGUGAUCGGCCACACUGGAACUGAGACACGGUCCAGACUCCUACGGGAGGCAGCAGUAGGGAAUCGUCCGCAAUGGGCGAAAGCUUGACGGAGCAACGCCGCGUGAGUGAUGAAGGUCUUCGGAUCGUAAAACUCUGUUAUUAGGGAAGAACAAAUGUGUAAGUAACUAUGCACGUCUUGACGGUACCUAAUCAGAAAGCCACGGCUAACUACGUG